ACGGCGAGUGAAGCGGGAUGAGCUCAAGCUUAAAAUCUCCGUACAAGUUUUGUACGGCGAAUUGUAGUCUAUAGAGGCGUGGUCAGCGUGGGCGCUUGGGGCAAGUUCCUUGGAAGAGGACAGCAUGGAGGGUGAUACUCCCGUUCAUCCCUGAGUGGCUCGUGCGUACGACCCGUUUUCUUUGAGUCGCGUUGUUUGGGAAUGCAGCGCAAAGUAGGUGGUAAAUUCCAUCUAAAGCUAAAUAUUGGUGCGAGACCGAUAGCGAACAAGUACCGUGAGGGAAAGAUGAAAAGAACUUUGAAAAGAGAGUUAAAGAGUACCUGAAACUGCUGAAAGGGAACCGAAUCGUUUCCAGUGUCUAUAAUCCGUGGCAUAUUUCAUUGGCGAGUGUGUGCGUGCGUGUGCUGUGGCAGUGGCCUUUUGGCUGCGCUUGGCGCGUGUGGUGUGCGUGCUUGCUGGUGCCCUGUGCUGCGGUGGGACGUCAAUGUCAGUUCGUAUGCUGCGGGAAAUGGCUGCCGAGGAGGUAGGGCUUACGCUUGCGUUUGUCUGUUAUAUCUUGGUGGACGAGUCGUCGCGGUUGGGACUGAGGUGCCUACAACGUGCUUUUGAGUGGGUUUGUGUUUCCGUGUGUGCCGUGUGCGGAUAGCUUGCUAUGCGUGUGUGGUUAUGUGUGGAUUGACACGGGCUUUAACUUGUUGCCGUUCGGGACGUUGACGAAAUGGAGCGAUCCGACCCGUCUUGAAACACGGACCAAGGAGUCUAACAUGUGUGCAAGUGUUAGGGUGUGGAAACCCCAGCGCGAAAUGAAAGUAAAGGGCAGCGCAAGCUGUCUGAGGUAGGAAACGCUGCGGGCUUCGGUCUGCGGCGUGGCACUAUCGACCGAUCAUGAACCUUCGUGGUGAAAGAUUUGAGUUUGAGCACAUAUGUUGGUACCCGAAAGAUGGUGAACUAUGCCUGAGUAGGGUGAAGCCAGGGGAAACUCUGGUGGAAGCUCGUAGCGAUUCUGACGUGCAAAUCGAUCGUCAAACUUGGGUAUAGGGGCGAAAGACUAAUCGAACCAUCUAGUAGCUGGUUCCCUCCGAAAUUUCCCUCAGGAUAGCAGCAACUUAUUUACGAUAGUUUUAUGAGGUAAAGCGAAUGAUUAGAGGAUUCGGGGAAGAAACUUCCUCGACCUAUUCUCAAACUUUAAAUCUGUAAGACCUGCAGGUUUCUUAAUUGAACUUGUGG
rnacentral:rRNA from 2 species